AAUAGCGUAUAUUAAAGUUGUUGCAGUUAAAAAGCUCGUAGUUGGAUUUGUGGCUGUCACGGGCGGCCUAUCACUUAGUGUUAGUGCUUGCCUGUGUCGCCAUCCUUGGGUGGAGCCCGUGUGGCAUUAGGUUGUCGUGCGGGGGAUGCCCAUCGUUUACUGUGAGAAAAUUAGAGUGUUCAAAGCAGGCUUAUGCCGUUGAAUAUGUUAGCAUGGAAUAAUAAGAUAGGACCUCGGUACUAUUUUGUUGGUUUGCGCACCGAGGUAAUGAUUAAUAGGGACAGUUGGGGGUAUUCGUAUUUCAUUGUCAGAGGUGAAAUUCUUGGAUUUCUGAAAGACGAACUACUGCGAAAGCAUUUACCAAGGAUGUUUUCAUUAA
rnacentral:rRNA from 1 species